rnacentral:rRNA from 1 species
ACGAACGUUGGCGGCACGCUUAACACAUGCAAGUCGAACGAGAAACCCGAGCUUGCUCGGGUGGACAGUGGCAGACGGCUUAGUAACGCGUGGGUAUCUACCUAGAGGUUUGGAACAACUAUUGGAAACGAUAGCUAAUACCAAAUAUUCCCUAAGGGGGAAGAUUUAUCGCCUUUAGAUGAGCCCGCGUCGGAUUAGCUUGUUGGUAGGGUAAAGGCCUACCAAGGCAACGAUCCGUAGCUGGUCUGAGAGGAUGAUCAGCAAGAUUGGGACUGAGACACGGCCAGACUCCUACGGGAGCAGCAGUGGGGAAUAUUGC